AUCCAUAGUCCUGAGCAAUAAGAAUUUUAAAUGCUUCCUUUGGUGCAGCAAAGUGUUUGCUAAUUGCCUAUGGAUCUGCUUGCUAAGUUCAAAUAUCACAUUUCUUUAUGCAUAUGUUUGUUUAGUUGAAUGUAAUUUCUGUACUUUAAUCCAAUACGAAUGUUUUUAUUAUAGCCUUUUCAUAAUGGGGACCAUCAACAAAUUCUUUCACUACAUAGGUCAUGUUGUAUUGUAUAUUUAGCUGCACUGCCUAUGCAUGUUUCUUUUAUGUGGCCUAGGUUUCCCUAGUGCAUUCAUAACAUUGUCCAUUGGCAAGUUUUUUGACUCGCAAUUCUUUCUUUCAUUCAUUUUGUAUAUUGUAACAUAUGCAGUCUUACUGCUUGAGGCCUGCCUUUGUCUGAAUUUAUUAUUCUGGUAUAUAAAUGUAUAGUAUAUACCAUGUGCUUGCCAAACAUGACUUUACUAAAGAAAAUAAUAGUGAUAAAAACAAGAAGAAAAAAAAUGCAGUUAAAUGUCAACAAGAACAUUAAAUUUUAUUUUAUUUUUCUAAAUCAAUUAAUCAAGGUCUGUAAUUCUUGUUUUGCAAACUAAAUCCUAUUUGGGGAAUUUUUUUGCUUGAAGAAUCUUGCACUUUCGAAGAAUCUUGUAUCUGUUGAACUGGUGUGAAAAAAAAAAUAAAUAAAUAGAGAGGAAAUUUGAUUGCCAUUGCUGAUGUUCUACAGCUAAAUGGUGGACGGCUGUAUCAGUUCAUAGAUUCCUUUAUUGGUUUUGAUCUUAUCGUUGGUUGGAGCCCAUGCAAUAACCUUAUAGGCAGAAAUAGGGUGAGUGUGGAUGGACCUGAGGGUAAAUUUUUAUUUUACUUUUUAUGAUUAUUUCCAUAUUCUAGACUUGGUCAAAGAGAUAAUUGGGAAGUAACAAUAAAUUCAUAAGAAAGGACCUACAUUUUGGAACUUAUAAUUGUUUAGAUCCUUUUUCUUUUGUUUUUCUUCCCAGCAGGCCCCCCCCUCUUCCCUAAAAAAAAGAACAGUUGUAGUCUAUCCAAGUGUCGAACAUAUUUUAGUUGGAAUUGGAGGAAAUUUACAAUUCUAUUUUCGAUGUGCCGAUCUGGUGCUUCCAAAAUGAAUUCUUAGAAAUUAAAGGCAUUUCUGAUGUUGGAUGAGACUUGUUAAUGUAUUGUUUUAUUAUGAUAUGAUGUUUUUACGCUAUCAGGUAAACAAAUUGAUCAUCUUCAUGAUAUGCAAGAGCAUUCCAAUUUUAUUAUUGUGAAAAUGAUUUUUAGGUACCUCCAACCUGUAAAUUAAGCACUUUCCUACGUUUUAAAGGCUAAUUAUUAAAAUGUUAUCUCUCUUCUAAGCUAACUUUAUUUUAUGGAGGAAAAAGAAAAUCAUCUAAUCAGGCAAGUAUAACAACAUAUUGGAGUUUUGCUGGAUGGAUGUCUAGCCGAGGGCUAAUAUAUAAGAUCAUAGGAAAAGCAAAUAAAAUUGGGGUGGGACCAAAAGAAGUAAGUGACAGGUACAUCAAUGAGUAUCAUGGUAACAUGAAACAAAUUCAGUGCCUUCCUCCUACAGAAGAGCCAGGGGUAACUGAUGAUAUAGAGCAGAUAAAAAACAUGUUCCAUUAGGUUUGUCUUCACAUUUGCCCUAGGUGCUGGACUAGUCCCUAGUCUCCUCCUAUCAGAAAUAUUCCCUAACCGAAUUAGAGCAAAGGCAAUGGCAAUCUACAUGGCAGUGCACUGGGUUAAAGCUAGGAUUGCGGGUUGCGGUUGACGUUACUUUUUUUGUUGCCGCUAUAUUUUUUGUAUGGCUCAUAAAGAAGUUGCAAGAAGAUAUGAAGAAUUUUUGUUUUAUUUUGGCUAAGUAAAUAUAUAAGGUGUGGAUUAUGUAGGGUCAGUUUAAAUCCAAACCCUAAAUCAUUUUGUUUGACUAUUAUUUAAAAAAAAAAAAUUAUGUAACACUUUCUACUACGGUUAUUGGUCAUAUAUAUAUAAGGUGUGAAUUUUUGUUUUA